rnacentral:tRNA from 1 species
GGUUCUAUGGUGUAAUGGUUAGCACGCUGGAAUCUGAAUCCAGCAAUCUGAGUUCAAAUCUCGGUAGGACGU